GUUAUGAUUGCACAAUUUAGUCAUUUUUUCAUUAAAAAAAAUUAAGCUAGUUUUAUGGUAUACCUUAAAUGAUAUUGAUUUGUAAACCACAUAAUUAUAUAAGAGACAACAUUUUGAAAGCUACACGGGUUAAUCAGUGUGCACCACAUUUUUGAUGUUAUUUCUUCAUAGACAGAAAAAAUAUUACAGUCAUUCCUUAAAUAUGUUUUGGUUAACCAAAAAUGUCUAAAAAAAAUGAUGAUACUAGCAGUCUAAAAAUUCUUUUGAGAUAAAAUUAUCUGAUUAUAAUUGAACACUGAAGUAACUUUUUCAUUGAGUUGUUCUUUUCUUUUUUGCUAGAACUUGGGUUUUUUUUUAUUGGUUCACAUAUUAUAUUUUAUCAAUUUUGAGAACAUUUGUUUGCAAUUUUAUAGAAUAUAUUCAUGUAUAAAAUGUACUGGUACUUAGUGUGAUAAACCACUAAGGUUAAGCACAGGUUUAAGAAUUUAUAAAAGUUAAGGAUUUUCACUCCUAACUAAAUUCCAAAAGUCACCUUUAAAAAUUUCUUUAACUUUUUUCAAAUCAUCUUGGAUUUUCAUAAAAAAUCUACAGCUAUCUCAAUUAUAUAUUGAUCUUACAAAAUGCAAAGUUAUUUGGUAGUUUGUUUUAUUACUGUCAAAUUUAAGGAUUUAAUCAAUGGGUAAAAAAGCUGUAAAUUUCAUGUUGGACAAAAUUUAGAUAGUCAACUUUAAAAUUUUUUGUAACUUUUUCAAAUGAUUUCGGAUUUUAAUAAUACUCUUCAGCUAUCUCAAUUAUAUAUUGAUCUUACAAAAUGCCAGGUUAUUUGGUAGUUUGUUUUAUUACUGUCAAAUUUAAGGAUUUAAUCAAUAGGUAAAAAAGCUAGAAAUUUCAUGUCAGACAAAAUUUAGAUAGUCAACUUUAAAAAUAUCUGUAACUUUUUCAAAUCAACUUGGAUUUUCAUAAUACUCUUCAGCUAUCUCAGUUAUAAAUUAAUCUUACAAAAUGACAGGUUAUUUGGUAGUUUGAAUUAUUGCUGUCAAAUUUAAGGAUUUAAUCAAUAGGUAAAAAAGCUGGAAUUUUCAUGUCGGACAAAAUUUAGAUAGUCAACUUUAAAAAGUUCUGUUACUUUUUCAAACCAACUUGGAUUGUCAUAAUACUCUUCAGCUAUCUCAAUUAUAUAUUGAUCUUUCAAAAUGCCAGGUUAUUUGGUAGUUUGAAUUAUUGCUGUCAAAUUUAAGGAUUUAAUCAAUAGGUAAAAAAGCUGGAAUUUUCAUGUCGGACAAAAUUUAGAUAGUCAACUUUAAAAACUUCUGUUACUUUUUCAAACCAACUUGGAUUGUCAUAAUACUCUUCAGCUAUCUCAAUUAUAUAUUGAUCUUACAAAAUGUCAGGUUAUUUGGUAAUUUGAUUUAUUACUGUCAAAUUUAAGGAUUUAAUCAAUAGGUAAAAAAGCUAGAAAUUUCAUGUCGGACAAAAUUUAGAUAGUCAACUUUAAAAAGUUCUGUAACUUUUUCAAAUGAUUUUGGAUUUUCAUAAUACUCUUCAGCUAUCUCAAUUAUAUAUUGAUCUUACAAAAUGCCAGGUUAUUUGGUAGUUUGUUUUAUUACUGUCAAAUUUAAGGAUUUAAUCAAUAGGUAAAAAAGCUGGAAUUUUCAUGUCGGACAAAAUUUAGAUAGUCAACUUUAAAAAGUUCUGUAACUUUUUCAAAUGAUUUUGGAUUUUCAUAAUACUCUUCAGCUAUCUCAAUUAUAUAUUGAUCUUACAAAAUGCCAGGUUAUUUGGUAAUUUGUUUUAUUACUGUCAAAUUUAAGGAUUUAAUCAAUAGGUAAAAAAGCUAGAAAUUUCAUGUCGGACAUAAUUUAGAUAGUCAACUUUAAAAAGUUCUGUAACUUUUUCAAAUGAUUUUGGAUUUUCAUAAUACUCUUCAGCUAUCUCAAUUAUAUAUUGAUCUUACAAAAUGCCAGGUUAUUUGGUAGUUUGUUUUAUUACUGUCAAAUUUAAGGAUUUAAUCAAUAGGUAAAAAAGCUGGAAUUUUCAUGUCGGACAAAAUUUAGAUAGUCAACUUUAAAAAGUUCUGUAACUUUUUCAAAUGAUUUUGGAUUUUCAUAAUACUCUUCAGCUAUCUCAAUUAUAUAUUGAUCUUACAAAAUGCCAGGUUAUUUGGUAGUUUGAAUUAUUGCUGUCAAAUUUAAGGAUUUAAUCAAUAGGUAAAAAAGCUGGAACUUUCAUGUCGGACAAAAUUUAGAUAGUCAACUUUAAAAAUUUCUUUAACUUUUUCAAAUGAUUUUGGAUUUUAAUAAUACUCUUCAGUUAUCUUAAUUAUAUAUUGAUCUUACAAAAUGCCAGGUUAUUUGGUAGUUUGUUUUAUUACUGUCAAAUGUUAGGAUUUAAUCAAUAAGUAAAAAAGCUGGAAUUUUCAUUUCGUACAAAAUUUAGAUAGUCAACUUUAAUAAUAUCUGUAACUUUUUCAAAUGAACUUGGAUUUCCAUAAAACUCCACAGUUAUCUCAAUUAAAUACUAAUCUUAGAAAAUGCCAGGUUAUUUGGUAGUUUGGUAUAUUGGUGUCAAAUUAAAAGAUUUAAUUAAUAGACAAAUUUUAGAUAGUCAACUUUAAAAAGUUCUGUAACUUUUUCAAAUCAACUUGGUUUUUGAAAAAACUUUACAGCUAUCUCAGUUGUAAAUUGAUCUUACAAAAUUCCAAGUUAUUUGGUUCAUUGCUGUCAAAUUUAAGGAUUUAGUUAAUAGAAUCAAAUAUGCUAUGAGUUAGGCUAAAAUGAUGUAAAGGUUUUUUAAGCUCGCUACGCUCUGAUGUAUUCAAUUUUAUGGAAUUAUGCCCAUAUGCUUUUGAAAAAUCCUGGAUCCGCCCCUAAAGAUAAGAGUACAUUUGAAAAUCCCUAUUAUUAUAGCACAAUAAGAACAAAGAGAUUUUGCCUUUGUCAUGUGUUAAUUUAAAAUGUAAACUUUUUACUUUUUUUUUGGUGAAUUUUCUCUAAGCAUUUCUGUCGAAAUUCUUCCUAGUUUAAUUAAAUGGAAUAUAUUUCAUUGUUUCCUUAUGAAACUCUGCAGGGAGGUAAUGUUUAACAGAUUUAAUGUAUAGUAUGAUUUAUUCUUGUUGAGUUUUUUGGGGCAAAAUUUGGAUUAAAACCAAUUAAUAUCAUUUAGUGGGAUUUUUUACAAUGAAGCUGGUUUCCAUUGAUUUUUUUAUGAACAGAUCUUAUUUGAUUAUUCAACCCUUUCCUAAUAGCUUUUACAAUUACAAAGUUGAAAUGUUUCACAAAUUAAACUAAUAUUCAUAAUCAAAGGAGAAGUUUUAAUUUGGCCACAAUUCAUGUCAAAAUCACUUAUAUAUUGAAUUUAAUACCCAUAAAUUGUGAAAAUAAUCUUAAAUGAAAUGAACAUGUAUCAUAUAUGUAUUCCUUCAAACAUCAUUCUGCAAGGAGUAAAUUCAAUAAAUCCCAAACAUUGAACCUAUUUUUUUUAUAAAAUUUUCAACAUUUGACUUGCAUAUCUAGUUUGUCAGAAAAUGUUGUCUUUAUUUCCAAUUUCUUUUUUUGUUUGAAAUCAAGCAAAUUUUGUUAAAUUAAAUAAAAAUUCCUAAUUUUAUCCAAUUUUGGUGUCUAUUUCAAAAAGUUCUACAAAAAGCAUUCUAUUUCACUUUUUAUGCCCCCGUAGUAGCGGAAGGGGCAUUAACUUUUACCCUUGUCUGUCUGUGCGUCCGUACGUCCCAAAAUUGGUUUCCGUUCUGUAACUUUAGUUCGCCUCAACCAAAUGUUGUGUAACUUAUACACAAUGCUUAUUACCACAAAACACAGAUCAAGUUUGAGUUUGGGUGGCGUCAACCGUUCUAGAGUUAUGCCCCUUUACAAAUGGAAAAAUUGCUGUGUUUUUUGUUUCUGUUCUCUAACUUAAGUUUGCCUUAACCAAAUGUUAUGAAACUUAUACACAAAGCUUAUUACCACAAAACACAGAUCAAGUUUGAAUUUUGGUGGCGUAACUUUUACUGUUCUAGAGUUAUGCCCUUUACGAAUUGAAAAAUUGCUGAUUUUUUUGUUUCCGUUCUCUAACUUAAGUUUGCCUCAACCAAACGUUAAGGAAACUUAUACUCAAAGCUUAUUACCACCAAAAACAGAUCAAGUUUGAAUUUAGGUGGUGUCACUUUUACCUUUCUUGAGUUAUGCCCCUUUACAAAUGGAAAAAUUGAUGAAUUUUUUGUUUCCAUUCUCUAACUUAAGUUUGCCUCAACCAAAUGUUAUGAAACUUAUACACAAUGCUUAUUACCACAAAACUCAGAUCAAGUACAAAUUUGGGUAGCCUCACUUUUGUUGUUCGUGAGUUAUGUCCCUAUAUACUGUUGUAUGCAAGUGGGGGCAUCAUCUGUGUCCCAUGGACACAUUCCCCAUUUAUUCACAUAUGUUUUUCUAAAACUUGAAACGCUUUUCAUUUUGAAAUAUUGGACUUGCUAUUGAGGCCCUAAUCAAGCACUUAAACUUUCCUUUCAGAAAAGAAUAUGAUUUAUAUAAACCUAUGCAAUAUAAAUAAAAACACUGGUCCUGCUCCUAUAUAAGAUAUACAUGAUAUAACUUAAUCUUACAUGUGUUUUAUAAAGCUAAGGUGAGAGGUAGAAUUAGAAAUAUACUUAUGUAUGAUAUUAGAUAAACACACUGAUAAAGGUGAAUAGCUUGAAUGUACAUAUUUUCAAAUUUAUAAAUUUAAAAUGUCACCUUAUAAAAUGUAUUCACUGUUUGAUCUAUUAAAUAUAUGACUAUAAACACAGUUAAAAAUUAUGUUGUUCUCUUAUUGAAAAGAUGUUAUUUAUAUUCUCUGUCUUACACAUGAAUUACAUACUACUCUAGAAAUUUGCACACUUCAUUAAAGAUCUAGACCAAUUGUUAUCUGCUAUUUUAAAAUCCAAGAUGGAGGAAGACACCCGAGCUACCUUAAGAUGUGAAAUUCUAAGAUAUAUUCCAAAUUAAAAUUUUGACUAUGAUAUCACAGUUCACUACAUGGAAAUGUAAUCUUGUGAAAGAUAUACAUUAUCAGGCAAGCAAAUCUGGUUUUGAUAGUUAAAGUGGUGGUCAAAUUUAUAUGAAAAUUAAUAAAAAUGUGACUUAUGUUUUUAUACUCGAAAUUUAUGUAACAAAGUAUGGUUGUCAUCUCAAUAUCGGACAGUAAUGAAUGACUGAAUAUUAUUGUGCAAAUACGGCAUGGAGUUUAUUUUCUUCCAUGCUAAUUGAAUAAAAAAGGUAUUAGUCAACUUUC